CAAUUGCUAAUGAGGAGAGAGGAGAAUGGUGCUGAAACAUGCAAAUUAAUGUGAUGAACCAGCAGAGAGGUGGACGCAGAUUUUCUGCUAAGACAAUCAACUUAAUGAACGGGGUACUAAAACAUU